AAAAAUCACUUUUAAACGUUUUAAUAUUAAUUUUUAAAAAAAUAUAAAUUUGAUUCUUUAUAUUUAUUGAAAUAUAAAAUUAAAUUAAAAAUAGUUUAAAAAUAGUUUAAAAAUACCCUGGAUUGUCCCAAAUUUUGAAUUGUGAUAAGAAGCAACAAAAGUCGAGAUCAAGGCUAAUAUUAUCAAAAAAAAAGAACACGUGUUAAUUAGCAAAGGAGCGCGAACCUAAAAUAUUUUUGAAAAAAAAUACAAAAAAAAUGCAACUCACGAAGGAUUCUGCCUAUUUUUCGAGCAUUCUUAUUUUAGUGAUUUUUGCGAUGUCCAGUUUAAUUUGCUUCUCCAAUGGUGCCAUGAUCAAACGCUACGCUGAAGAAUCCAAUACGGCUCCAUGGGGCGAGGAAAACCGGGGCUAUAUAUACCCAGAUAUUCCUUACGAUGAGAUAAGAAGCAUGAUGAACUUCCUGGAUCGGAAUCGAGAUUACAAGGGGUCCAAAAGGGGAAUGCCUUUGAGAUUUGGCAGGGGAGGGCCUCCUUUAAGAUUCGGUUAAUUUUCUUAAAUUCAAAACAACAAAAAAACAUAUUUUUCAUUCUUUAUUAUAAUUAUAUUUACAUAUAUAUAUAUACAAAUAAUAACGUGUUUUUGUUUAUUUUAUAUUUUAAAAAAAUAAUAUUAUAAAAAUGUUUUUUAAAUUAUAUAUAUAUAAGUAAAGUUAAAAUUCUACGUCCAAAAUUGAUGAUAUACUUUUUUUUGUUAAUCAAUAAUAUAUUAAGAAAUAUAAGUAGUAUUGCUAAAAAGCCCAAUUAGGGUAGAUUUUUUUAAAAAUAGACUGCAUGUAACCCAAAAUAACACUGUGUAAGCUUAAAGGCGCUCAUAGCAGGAAUGCUUGGGCAUCUUAUUUGCCAAAUCUUGAAGCUUAGCUUAGAUAAUAAAGUUAGCUAAAAAUCUUAAUUCGGCUUUUUAACAACACUAGGAAUAAUUAGGGAUGUUAUUAAAAAAAACGAAGAAAAUUAAAAGCGUUAUAAAAAAAAACGCGGGAAUUUUUUUUUUAUUAUUAUUAUGAAAAAUUUUGAAAAUAACUUGGAAAUUAAAUCUUAUUUAGCAAUAUGAAUGUGAUAAUGAAAAAUGUUUAACCAAUGUUUUGGUUAAAUUAUAUUAUCGGAGAGAUGCUAGCUAUAAUGAAGCAUUUGCAUUGUAUACCACCGAAAUGAUUGGCGUUCCUUCAUUCACUUAUAUUACUGUCAGUCAAAAAAUAUAUUUCGGAAAAGGUUCCAUUCCAUUAAUAUAUUAUUCAUUACCACAAAGAAAAUAAAUAAAAUAAAUCAGUUUUGGAAGUAAAAUAAAAAAUAAAAUUAAAAUAAUCAAAAAUAUAUUUGUAAACAUAUUUUAUUAUUUAUUUUAUUUUGUAAAGAAUUUGGAUAUCGUUUUUUUUAAUAUAAAUUAUAUUCUCAUAUUAGAUAAAUUAUUUUU